AAUCGCCGAAAGGCGGAUGCAGCGACACCACGUGGAGGAUGAAGCCGUUCGCGGUGUAAACUCCUGUCAGGAGGGAAGAAGGUGCGGGCGUUAAUAGCUCGUUACUUGGCGGUACCUCCAGAGGAAGCUCCGGCUAACUACGUGCCAGCAGCCGCGGUAAUACGUAGGGAGCGAGCGUUGUUCGGAUUUACUGGGCGUAAAGAGCACGUAGGCGGGUAUGCAAGUCGGUUGUGAAAUCCUCUGGCUCAACCAGAGAACUGCAAUCGAAACUGCAUACCUUGAGUCCAACAGAGGGAAUCGGAAUCCCAGGUGUAGCGGUGAAAUGCGUAGAUAUCUGGGAGAACAUCAGUGGCGAAGGCGGAUUCCUGGGUUGGUACUGACGCUGAGGUGCGAAAGCUAAGGGAGCGAACAGGAUU
rnacentral:rRNA from 1 species